rnacentral:rRNA from 1 species
CAGCCGCCGCGGGAAUACGUAGGGUGCAAGCGUUAAUCGGAAUUACUGGGCGUAAAGCGUGCGCAGGCGGUUAUAUAAGACAGAUGUGAAAUCCCCGGGCUCAACCUGGGAACUGCAUUUGUGACUGUAUAGCUAGAGUACGGCAGAGGGGGAUGGAAUUCCGCGUGUAGCAGUGAAAUGCGUAGAUAUGCGGAGGAACACCGAUGGCGAAGGCAAUCCCCUGGGCCUGUACUGACGCUCAUGCAAGAAAGCGUGGGGAGCAAACAGGAUUAGAGACCCCAGUAGUCCCUGUCUCUUAUAC